rnacentral:rRNA from 1 species
UACGUAGGGGGCAAGCGUUGUCCGGAUUUAUUGGGCGUAAAGAGCGUGUAGGCGGCUUUGCAAGUCCGUUGUGAAAACUCGAGGCUCAACCUCGAGACGCCGGUGGAAACUGCAAAGCUAGAGUCCGGAAGAGGAGAGUGGAAUUCCUGGUGUAGCGGUGAAAUGCGCAGAUAUCGGGAAGAACACCCGUGGCUAAGGCGGCUCUCUAGUACGGUACUGACGCUGAGACGCGAAAGCGUGGGGAGCGAACAGG